AAACUCGAUGAUGAAGACAUCAUCUCCUAUAUUCUGGCAGGUCUUGAUGAUAGCUAUGACGGUUUUGUGGCAGCAAUUACAGCGAUGAUUAAGGCAGAAAAGCAUGUUAGCAUCAGUGAUCUCUAUGCCCAGUUUGUUUCUUACGAAU